rnacentral:rRNA from 1 species
UACGUAGGUGGCAAGCGUUGUCCGGAUUUACUGGGCGUAAAGAGCGCGCAGGCGGUCGUUCAAGUCGCGUGUGAAAGCCCCCCGGCUCAACUGGGGAGGGUCACGCGAUACUGAUCGACUCGAAGGCAGGAGAGGGUAGUGGAAUUCCCGGUGUAGUGGUGAAAUGCGUAGAUAUCGGGAGGAACACCAGUGGCGAAGGCGACUUCCUGGCCUGUUCUUGACGCUGAGGCGCGAAAGCUAGGGGUAGCAAACGGG